rnacentral:rRNA from 1 species
CCUACGGGAGGCAGCAGUGGGGAAUAUUGCGCAAUGGGGGAAACCCUGAUGCAGCGACGCCGCGUGAGUGAAGAAGUACUUCGUUAUGUAAAGCUCUAUCAGCAGGGAAGAAAAUUACGGUACCUCAGUAAGAAACCCCGGCGAACUACGUGCCAGAAACCGCGGUAAUACGUAGGGGGCAAGCGUUAGCCGGAUUUACUGGGUGUAAAGGGAGCGUAGGCGGGGGUGCAAGUCUGGAGUGAAAGUCGGGGGCUAAACCCCCGAACUGCUUUUGAAACUGCACGGCUGGAGUGCAGGAGAGGCAAGUGGAAUUCCUAGUGUAGCGGUGAAAUGCGUAGAUAUUAGGAGGAACACCAGUGGCGAAGGCGGCUUACUGGACUGUAACUGACGUUGAGGCUCGAAAGCGUGGGGAGCAAACAGGAUUAGAUACCCUUGUAGUC